rnacentral:lncRNA from 1 species
GACCGAAGCCGUCCCGCGCCUGUGUUCGUUGUCCCUCCAGGAGGGGGUCCGGGGCGUGGGGACUGAUUUCCGACCUCCCGGGCCCAACGAGCCGUGCUGAAACGUGGCGCCUCGGAGGAGGCUGAGAUUCCUGCAGGUAGACACCAAGGAUCUCCUCAGAGCCAGCGCUGAUCUCAUCCACAGAGGGAUCACAUGACCUCAUCUGGGAAAAUAUAAACCCUACCCACCUGCCUGCCCAUUUGGAAAUGCAGACUGGAGGACGCUAAGUUCAUUCUUACCUAUGUACUAACAAGUACACAAGAAGAUGCUCAAUAUCAUUAGUCCUUGGGGAAAUGCAAAUUAGAUUAUAAUGAGAUUCCAGUGUACACCCACUAGAAGGCUAUUAAAAAGGACAAUACCAACUGUUGGCAACAAUGUGGAGAAAUGGAACCCCUCCUACGUUUCUGAUGAGAAUGUAAAAUGGUGCAGAUACUUUGGAAAACAGUUUGGCAAUUUAUUAAAAGAUUAAAUAAGCAUAAACUUA